AGUGAUGAAAGAAAUAAACUGGUCAAGUAAUCUAAGGAACGAUAAUACGUAUCUAUGUCAGUGACAGUGAGAAAAAUUCAGAUAUCUGUACUUAAGUGAUUACACUUAUAAGUAUCAUUAUAUAUUAUAUAAAUAUGAUAUUUCGAAUGGUAUCAUUUAUCACUCAUUAAACAAGAGUGUCAUAUCCAGAGAAAUGAUUUUACAUAUCUUAAUCUUUGCUUUGAUUACGAUAGUAAUAAUUUCUAUCAAACUUGAUGAGGAAGAUACAUGAAUAAUUAUCUAAAAGCUGAAAAUCUUGGCAAAUUCAUUUGUACAUAAACUAACAGGAGUGAAUUUUAAAGAUACACUCUGCUCUCAACAAUUAAAGCUGUCUUGUCGCAACAAAGUUUCAAUAAUUUUUUAUGGACAACAUGGCCCAGUUUGCACAAAGACUAAAAAUUUUAACAUUAAAUUUGGAUAAACUAUCUUACGAUAGAAGGAAUGAUAUAUCCUUCAUUUUCGCCAAUAAUCUGGUCGAAUUUAGUCAAGUAAAAUGGUAUUGUUUCGUUCAAAAGUUGAUUCUUCCUCGCUUCCUUCUUUUCAGGAUCCUCCUCCAUGCGAUAGUAGCAGAUAGCUGAAACGUAUAUGAAACCAACCGUUACAUUCAUUUGUGUUUUUCCCCCCAAACGAAGAGAAAAUAAGUUGUGAAAGAAGGAGUAGCCUCUCAUAGUUCCUACAAUUUCUUCAUUCUCUUUGCUUUCUUCAAUAUUGCCUCAACAAGUUCCUGUGGUUCACGAUACUUGAAAUAUAUACAAUGUUACCAGCGUGGAAAUUGUCUUGGAAACUUGGAAAAUCUUUCAAGAGGAACAACAUUGCUAACUGAGAUUCGAGAAAGGAAAGGUAUCUCAUGAUCAUGUGAUAACACACAGGAAGAAAGAAUAGAGGAAAAAACAGCGUAAGAAAAAGUUGCGUAAGAGUAUCGUCGCACUACAUCAUUCGACAAUUGAUGCACGUCAUGGCGAUCGUCACGGUUUAAAGCAGGCCAUCAAAAACACGUUUGUUAUCGUACGGAAAAAUCUGCGACGUUCCAGCUGUUCAGGUGCAUCGAAUUGUGAAUCAUCGGCGGUACGAAGCAAGGCGAGGGGCGUAAAUAGAGAAAGAAGAGAAGAGAAGGAUUCGCAUAAAUGAUAAAAUAUAAUCGUUCGUUCCUCGUCGAUGGCGGAUGGAUGGCUUUAAUCGUGGACGAUAUCGAUACGAUUAUAUUUUAUACAUUUGAAACAAAUAUAAAAGACGAGCAAAAACCAGAGAUACGAUCGUUAUGAUAUUAUUCAAUCGGUAGCCUAUUUACCUCGUUUUUUGUUCACCUUCGGUGUCUAGUAAUAAUUUUUCGAUUCGACUGGCGUGACGUUACGUUGGCGGUGUAAAAACACGAUUUUAAACACCUGCGGAUAGUUGCAUGAGUUUCGAGCGAUUCCAUUCCCUUCGAUUUAUAUUUAUGCGAUCAACGCGCGGAUCGUUAACGCAUUAUGCAGACAGCAGAUGUUACGUAAUCACACAUAUCGUAAUUGGAAAUUAGUAACGUUAUCGCGUACCAGGAUCUUCCUGUCUUUGAUCAUCGAGUAACACCUCGUUGUCCUCGCUCCUUCCGCGGAUAACCAGCGUUUAUCAUAUAGAGACAGGGAUUUGCAAAGAAUAAAAGUUGUAGAACGUUGAAAGGCGUUGAGAGAAACGUGAUGUUAUCCCGUUAUUCGUUAACGCAACGCAGUUAAAAAAAAUCCCGUAGGAAGAUUACGAUAAUAGAUAACCUGAGUCGAGUGUUUGUCGGGGCAUCUAAAAGAUUCUUUCGAGUUGAGCGUCUGAGAUUGCAGAGAAGAAAAUUUGGAAGCCAUCGAAUUCGUGAUGUCGAUAGAAAUCUUCAGUUGGAAUCGUUGUAUCAUAACGUAGUCUGCUUAUUGUCGAUAAGACUUUACUAAACUAAAAGUGACUACUAAAAGUUUCUAUCCUCUAAAUUCUAUCUACGAUUCUAUAAUCUAAAAACUGACUUUUGCAAACAAACUGUAACAUUCGCUUAACGGAAAGACAUACGUAUCUUGUUUGUACUCGUCUUUUCACAAUGAAUUCUUGAACGUCUGUCUCUGUGGUGAGACAAAUGCAAAGUCAUCUCAUCAGUUACUCACCUUGCUUCAAAUUGCUACGAUUGCUAUCGGUUUGGAUACUUGCGAUUGUUUCGUUAUGGCUAUAUUAGGCUCUAGGUUGCAAGGUUAGGGUGUUGUCCUGAAGUUCCAGAGGGGCCCCGGCGUCCUUUCGUCUCCGACUCGGCCAUCCUGACACUUACACGUCCUCGUGUGUGGCCUGCUGGCUUAGUCUACCCGUCGGGGCUUCCACCACGCAGGCAUCGACCCGGCGCUCGUCCUCGGGGCAAUGUUUUUCUUCUCGCCGCGAUGGACAGCGAGACGCGAUGUGUCCCGGCAUGUGGCAGUGAAAGCACAACGCUUUUGGUGGUGCAGCCGGUCGGCUUUCCUCCGGGCGUCGAGGGUCCUUCUUCGGUUCCCACUUCGCCCUCUUGCGGCAUUCGAAUGUCGGAUGUCCGUAAAUACCGCAGUGGCCACACCUGGUCCAGGGGGCGGGUGACCUGCCUCGUUUGUUUCCGGAGCUCGCUAAUGACCUCCACGGCGGGGGCGUUGGCCACUCCGUGUAUAGGAAGAGCUUCAUUUCUCUUUGGAAUUGUUUCACCGACGUGAUGUCACUCGUGAGCGCUAGUCGUUUAAAACGUUCAUCGCGCGAGCCCAGCAGAUGGAGGGCGGUGGCGGCGAGUACCUCUUCCCUGGUUGAAUUUCGCCACUUCGACCCCAGGAGGGUGAUGAUACGAUUUCCGUACGCUCCUGGUGUUUCGCCGUCCCGCGGUAGUUCCUCGGCUACCUUGAUUAGCGACGCGGCUGCUACUUCUUAGCCACCGAAGUGCGCGGCGAAUUGUUCCUUAAAAUCUGGCCAGGGGGUGGUCCCUCAUGAGCAGGCCGAGCUCGAGUCACAUUCCGAGUCCGAGCUCGAGGCGCCCUCCCGGGCAGGGCUCGCGGGAGAUUGCGAUUCCGUGUUGGAGUUCUCCAUCGUCCGGUCGCGGGUGGGGUACCUUUAUUGUCGAUAGUGACACUAGUGACGAGGGCCUCAGGCUUGAUAACGAAUCCGCGGCCAACGGGAGGACUAUCAUAUAAAGAGCAACAGGAUACACGAAAUAAUAUAAUUCUGACUAGGACAACAUAAACGCAAGAAGUGUUGAUAUUGAAAAAAAUAUUUAAUUUUGUAUAUAAAUAUUUUCAUAUUUAAAAAAGUUUCCGGAAGCAGGAAGAUUUACAAACAAAUAAUAUCAUAAACCGAAUGUUUCAUGAUCCUUUUCUAAUUAGAGUGUGUGACAGCAUGUGAGAACGUUUCUUAAAAAUAUGACUUAUUGCAAUUACUUAAUCGCAAUUAUAAACGAUUAAGACCUUCUCACAACGAGGCAAUCUAUCCAAAGUAUAAAACUCGUUAUACUUGAUGAGAAAACAAAUCUCUACUUAGGUUUCAUUUCGUUUCAUCGCGUUCAUAAAAAGUGAAUUUGUAUGAACACAUCGUGCAAUUUAGUAAUUAGGACCGUUGAUCUCGCUGCAACAUAGAUGGAUAGAAAAAAGCCAUUUAAAAUGAUACAACGUCGGGAAGACAAUUAUGAAAAUUAUAAAUGGAACACGAGAUAAAAUUGUUUAAGAUUAAUUCUUCUUUUUUUCUUUUUUUUUUAAUCGCGAGUGUUUGCAAACGAAGUUUCAAUCUGUUUACAAUGAUAGCAAUGAGAGGAGGAUGUCUAUGAAAGUUAUAAAUGCGAUAUUGAAUAACAUUUCUGCGAGUGGGUUUGUUUUUCGUUACAAAUGUUUUUUAAACGAAUCUGCAAUCUGUUGGAAACUACGGAACAGUAACGGGACGACUGAUAGGGAAAUAAAAAAGAUCGCGUUUUAUUUGAACAGACAAAUCUUUGAAAUCUAUUCGAAAGUCUAUUUGAAAUGGUACGAGCUCGAAAAGAACGGUGAAUACUAUAGAAGAAGGAUUAAUUAAAAUUCUUAUUAAUCUGUACGCUUUGUAUAUUAAAUACCUUGAUCGAUGCCAAGAUAACAAAUUAUUAUACAAAACAGUGAAGUAUCCACGUCUGACAUUAAUAUUGAGUAUUACCAUUACUGUAAUUUAAUUUUUAACCGAUCCUGAAAAUUCCUUAGAACGUAAAAAGUAUAAAAUGUUACUGUGCAUUUCAAGAUUAAAUGCACUGUAAUUUAGAAACAGUUAUGAAGCGGAAACAAAUAAUUUAUUCAGAAUAAGAAUUCUACGUAAUCAUGUUAAAAAAAAAAACGUACUUAUAACGCGUUUAAACUCCAAAUAUGUAAAGACAAUAAGGGAAAAAAAUUAAACGCAGAAUCGUAUUUUUUGUAAAUUCACACAAGAUUUUAUCCAAAAAAAAAAUUAAGAUUUUUUGAAGAACGUACAAGAACAAUAAAAAAGGGAUGUUAAAUACAAAAAAUAGAUUAAAAUUUAGAUUAUGAAAUAUAAAAAAAAUGAUAUUGCAUAAUUUACAAUUAUUUUCGAUAGCUUACGUCAGUAUGUUGGAGUGUAAACUAUAAAAUAUUCAAAAACUGAUACCAUUUAGACAUAAUUUAGAAAAACAAUAAAUUGCGGAAACCGAUAGUUAAAACUCGAUACGAUCGAUACUCCAAAACUCUAAUCCUAAUAAUUACUCAGCAAUAAUAACCGAUAAUUCAUGUUGAUUAAUGUUUGAACUCCGUUUUUUUUCUGUAUGUGUAUACAAAUUUUGUACAGUUUGAUAAAGCGAAAUUAAAUUAUCAUCUUUUUGUACUACUUCAAACAUUGAGAUUUGUCAUCUUCAAGGUCGAUCACACAUAGUUUCAGAUUGCGGAGUUGCAAGGGUAAUUAAUUUUGCAAUCGGUUUUCCUUUGAUAUAGAUGUGAAUACAAAUAGCCAUUGAUUGACAAUAUACCGAAGCAAUUCUAGUUUAAUUUGAAGUCAUCGAUCCUUUGAUAUUUUUGGAAGAAUAGUAAAAGUACAGAGAAAACAAGAAAAAAUGGCGUUAACUAAAAGAUAACUCCAAUGUAUCUCAUAAAUAUUAUCUAUAUAUCAUUUGUAAGAUGUAAGUGACCAAGAUAUCGAAUUAUACAAAAAUUGUAUGUAAUGAUUAAUACUUGAACGUUACUUACAUUUAUGUACAUGAAAAUUUGAUCUUUUAUUAACUAAGUUAUUGAUCGACAAAAUGACUUCCUACAUAAUUCUCCGCCUGAACUGAAAUGCAUAUCUUUUUUUACGCAAGCCUUAUGUGUAGCUAGCAACGAGCAAACAGAUUAAUUACUUUACACACGGUCGUAUCUUGUUUGCUGUAGGCGAGUUCUCUCGUGUAAUCAACGAAGUACUCAACUUUAAAGCGAUAACAGAAGAACAUUAUUGUAUCGAUAAAAAUCAUGCUUUUUUCAAAGAAAUAUGUAACUCGUAUUUUUUUUAAAGCAACCCUCAUAAUGUAUUGAAUAAAAUAAUCAUACAUUUUUUUUUGUUCAACAUUUGUAAAAUACGAUAUUAUCAAGAUCACCAAGGAGGUAAUCUUCAAUUCUUAAUGAAUAUAAUAAAAAACAUAAUUAAUGAUUG